rnacentral:tRNA from 1 species
GCCUGGAUAGCUCAGUUGGUUAGAGUGUGAUGCUGAUAACCCCAAGGUUGCAGGUUCGAUUCCCAUAUGGGACA